rnacentral:rRNA from 1 species
AUACCCUAUUAUUUAAGAGCUAAAUAUUGUAAGUAUAUAAUAAUUACGAAAGCAAAAAAUUAUGGCGGUAUUUUAAGCUUUUCAGAGGAAUUUGCUCUUUAAUGGAUAAAACACCUAAAUCUUACUUAAAUUUGUCAAAUCAACUUGUAUACCACUAUUAAAACAAUUAUUAACUCUAAUUGUUAAUAUUUAAAACAUAAAUUAAUUUAAAUUAAGUCAAGGUGCAGUAAAAAUUUAAGAAUGAAGUGAAUUACAUUACUUUUAAGAGAAAUAAAAUUAAAUAAAAUUUAGGAUUUGAAAGUAAAAUUAAAAUAGAAUGUUAAUUUGAAUUAAGCUCUAAAAUAUGUACAUAUCGCCCGUC